UUCUGGGAAUGGAAUUUGCUAAUGGAGAUCUGGAAAUAGCGCCGCCGCGUUGGGCGGUUGAUCGGAGGAGAGAGGCUAGAAGCCUCCGAGAAGACAUGGUGAGGUUAGGGUUUGGUCUAUAGAGAGAGAAAGGUGAGGUGUAGAGAGAGAAAGAGAGAGUGCUAGGGUUAAUGAGAAUGAGCAGAGAGACGACUUUUUAUCUGUAGAGGUGAUGGCAGCAGUGUGUGUGUGUGUGAGAGAGACUGUCACCUCUUCACUGCUUUUACUUUUUUACUGUGUAGGGAAAACGAGGAGCAUUUGAAUUUGCCUUUUUUUCAUUUUUCUAAAC
rnacentral:lncRNA from 1 species